CCCCGGGCCCCAGGCUAAUGAGUGAAGAGUGUGACCUUCCAAAACCGCAUGUCUCACAGGAGGAAUAAUUACCAACAUCUCCCUAACGGUUAACCAAAGGCCCCAAGCCUGGGAGAACUGGGUAUUUAGCAGCAAAAGAAGCAUUCGAAGGACACAUCUCUUCCCCAGCUAGUCGCCCUAGGACCACAUGUUCUUGCACGUGGCUGCCUCUGAGCCAUUCUCCUGGGCUAGAUGACGCGCAGCUGGCCUGUGGCCCUUGGCUAAAGAAGGAGGACCUCCCACGGUGAGGACAAGGAGCCCCCUGCCCCCAUGUCUGAGAGACAGCACACUGCACCACCCCUCCGCCCCAGCAAAGGACCCCAGUCACGAAGAGGCAAAUGCUGUCUGUAAAAUUCCAAGACUGCUUUAGCUUCUAACAGAAUCCAACAUUAACGGGAUUGAAAUUUAGAAAGGUGCAUCUCCCUGUUUAGAUUCUUCGAAGCAAUGGGUUAUCGAUUGGUUACCACAGAUCCACAGAUUGGUUUAAGAGGAUCCCGUUGGAGCUGACAUCUCAAAGAAAGAGCAGGAGGGAUGACUCGAGAGAACCACUUUAAGGGAGACGAGUCAUAUAGCCCAGCUAUAUGACAAGAAAUCAUGUGACAUGUUCCAGCCGAGCGUCAGAGCCCCUGAAAGAGGUGAAGAUGAAGCAGCGUCACUGCUGUGGCCCCAGAAAUAGCUCGGAAGGAGGUGUUCAAGCUGCCACGCAGGUGAGUGCUUUCCACUCUUCUAGGACUCACUCCCCUCAAAAAAGCAGGAACCCUUACCCACCCUCGCAGCAUGCCUCUCCUGUCUGCUCCACUGCCGGCGUUUAAAGCAGCUGUUCUCAAGCUUCAACGUGUGUGUAUGCAUCUCCUCGGGAUCUUGUUAAAUAAAGAUUCUAAUUCAGCCAGUGUGAGCUGGGACCUGAGACCCUACAUCUCUCACAAGCCCCCAGGGAAUGCUGACGCUGCUGGUUCAUGGGCUGCGCUUAGAGCUGAUGGGUUGAAAGCCAGGAGCUCUGGCCCCCUGGCAUAUCCAUUCAGUGUUUCUGUUUCUCGUGAUUGCUGGGACUAGUGGCACUGCAUCACCUGGCACCCCGUCUGCAGGUGAUCAGCGUGACUACCUGACACAGACUCCCCUGCUGUUCGGGUGAGAAGGCGCUGAAGGGAAGCGUUUACCGCUGAAGCAUCAUCACUCUCGGUAUGAAAGCAAGUCUUGCCUGCUUCCUUUGGUCGACUUCCUAAGGGGAUUACUUGCUUCGCCAGGAUAUAUAUAUUUAAAUUACUUUCAAUUCCACAUCCCUCUCCCACCCUGCCACGUUGUCCCUUCCAAAUGGCGCCUGAGGCUCACUGCCUUGUAUAAUUCUUCCUUUUCUACACCUGGUUAGAAGUAUAAAAUUUGUACCACCCUCCUGAUCAGAAUAAUGCAUAUAAACUCCCUCACUGGGGGAAAAACAGUCUUUUAUUGCCUGUGCUGCUUUUACCUAACAUCCUCUCCCACCA